AUGAGCAGGGCUAUCAUUGAAGAGUAUAUUCAACAGGUUUGGAGCAAUGAUGCAUAUGAGAGUGUGGAACACGGAGUAAUGGUUAACUCUGCGAGAGAAAGGUUUUCAAUUCCCUUCUUUUUCUUCCCUGUGCAUUACACUGAAGUCAAGCCUUUGGAGGAGCUGACAAACGAGGAAAAUCCUCCAAAGUAUAGACCUUACAACUGGGGGAAGUUUCUUGUGAACAGAAAGGGUAGAAAUUUUGCGAAGAAAAAAGUGGAGAACAUUCAAAUUUAUCAUUAUAAGAUAGCUUAA
rnacentral:lncRNA from 1 species